AAGGAAGUUUGGGAAAUGCGGUUUCCAGGCUGCCAGCCCCUGAAGUACAGAGGAGACUGUGGAAAGGCAGGAGUGAGCCCAGGAGCCACAGGCAACAUCCGGGGAUAGCUGCCAAGAGGAAGCAGUGAGUCAAGAACGUGGCUCCUGAACGUCAAGUCUUGGAAUUCAAACACUUCCAUCAAGUAACAGUCAGCAGCCCUGAGAAUUGUUGCUGCUAUCUAGAAGAUAGUGCAUCCUCGAGCCAGAACCCCAGUGACAACCUCAGGCUGCACUUGUGCUCCCAUCUUCUGUAUUAAAUGUAGACCUGGAAGGAGGUGUGAGAGAGAAGGAGGCAGCGGCAAUAUUGCAGAUGUGGUGAAGAUCUGGAGAGGUGGCCUUUACAGCACUGACCAUGAGCAAUGGGCCUGCUGUGAAGAAACAAGUAGUCUCCAGGCCGUGCCUACUGCCUUUAUCCAGCCCAACAGAUGAAAACAUCCUCAUCUGAGGCACCUGACCCUGAGUCCAGAGCACUGGGAACGAAAAGAAUAUCCUGAGACACCCGUUCUCUUAUUCCUGGGAGCCGUCCUCCAGCUCCUGCAGUUACAUUUCCUCUGGGAAGUGUCUCAUUUUCCUCGUCUUGACAUUUUUCGUGCUUGUGAAAAUGGUCCUGCAAAACACUCUGUUGGUAUACAUGAGUUAUUUCACAAUUUCCCCUUCCUCGGUUGACGACUGUGAAGUAGGGAAGCGAACGCUGUCAAAGAUAAUGAUGAACAAUGUGUGUGGCGAACAAGUAUGGGCGCUGCAGCCCCUUCUCUGGCUUUGCCUUAAUCUCCAGCAAGAGGGAAAAAGAACCCGUCGAACCAUUUAGGGAUGAGGGACGCCUGGGGCCUUGCAGAGGCCUUCAGAGCCCAACAUCUAAAAAUGUUUCCCAAAUUGAGUUGAAAGCAAACUGUCCUCAGUAGCGAAGUAGACUGAAUGCUGGAUAAAAGCGCUCUUGCUUUCUAAUCCCCAUGGCGAGGCCAACACUGAUCUUACGAGCUAAAGUUGACCUAGGAAACACAGUUGUAAGCAUUUUCCUUUCUCUUCAAUGACAAUAAAAAUGGACACGCUCUAACUGUAAUUAAGACGGGAGUAGAGGCUAGUGGGGAUCUAUCUGGCAUCUAGCGCCACCUUGUGUGGCACAUCCAAAUCCCAGGCCCUUUUCAGGGACCCAAAGAUGAAAAAUGACAGCAUUCUUGAAGAGGAGUUUGCAUUUAAUAAUCAUGGGAGUGGUUAUUUUCUUGGGAAUACAAACUGAUAGAUAGAAAUAAUUAGCACUUGACUGGCGCCUUGUAGUGAACAAAGCACUCCCACAUGGCUGAUCCCAUUUAAUCCUGGCAGCAGCCCUGAGCUGGCCGUGCUAGAGCUCAGCCUCAGAGAUGUGAAGACUGAGGCUUGGAGAAGCUGGCCACUGGCAUGGGGCAAGUCCUGGACUUGAA
rnacentral:lncRNA from 1 species